rnacentral:rRNA from 1 species
UUUUUCUUGUGUUUUUGAUUUGAAGUAUAACCUGCCCACUGAUAAAUUAUUGAAUGGCCGCGGUAUUUUGACCGUGCAAAGGUAGCAUAAUCAUUAGUCUUUUAAUUGAGGACUGGAAUGAAUGGUUGAACGAAAUAUAUACUUUAUUUAUUUUAUUUUUGGUUGAAUUUAAUUAUUGAGUAAGAAGGCUUAAAUUUUGUUAUGGGACGAGAAGACCCUAUAGAGUUUUAUACUAUUUUUAUUAUUUGUGUUGGUGAAUUAGAUUUAAUAGUUUUAGUAUUUGGUUGGGGUGAUUGUAGGAUAGAUUUAACUCUUAUUUCUGGUUUAAUAUUGAUUUAUAGAUUUUUGAUCCUUUAUUUUGAUUAUAAGACUAAAUUACCUUAGGGAUAACAGCGUUAUUUUUUUUGAGAGUUCUUAUUGACAAUAAAGAUUGCGA